UCUUUUUCUUCUUCCUCUGAUAAACCAACCAGAGAAAAACUCCUAACCAAGGUCACACCUCUUGGUCACCGCUUGGAAUGAUUGGCUUCUGAUUAGGUGUCCUCUGAAGAAGAAACCACGCCACUCUCUUCACCACCUCAUCCCACUUCUUCCCCUCCUAUUUAUAUGUCCAUUACUUCUUCUGGGUCUUCUUUUUCUGUGCAAAAAAAUGGAAUUGGGAACGAGAGAGCAGGAGAAUGACAGAGGGAGUAGGAGUGACACCAAAAGAAGGUUAAGGAGGAGUCUUUCAAAUUCUUCUUGUUCUCCAUCAAUCAGAGCAGCAAGAGGAGCAGAGUGAUGGCGUGAGAUGGGGCUGACCGAAGCUGAAGGGGCUGGCCAAAGUUUGAAGUAAAGCUGACCAAGGGAGGAAGAGAAAGCUAGGACUGAUUUCAUGAGAAAGGGUGAACUCCAUUGAGGUUGAAGUUGAUUUAGCUCUCUCAGCUCAUGCCAAUGCUCGGAGGUGGUAUGAACUAAAGAAAAAGCAAGAGAGCAAACAGGAAAAGACUAUAACUGCGCAUGAAAAGGCGUUUAAAGCUGCAGAGAAAAAGACUCGCCUACAGCUUAAUCAGGAAAAAAUUGUUGCCACAAUUUCACAUAUGCGAAAAGUUCACUGGUUUGAGAAAUUUAAUUGGUUCAUUAGCAGUGAGAACUAUUUGAUUAUUAGUGGACGUGAUGCCCAACAAAAUGAGAUGAUAGUGAAGCGAUAUAUGUCAAAAGGAGAUCUGCUUUUUGGUUUUAAUGCUACAAAGAUGAGAAUGGAUGACAGGAUUAGUCUUAGCAUGAGUGAUCCGAAUCUUGUUCCACUUCUUAUCCAGGUUCUUUAAUCCAUUUUCUUUCACUUUAUUUUUAUUCUUUUUAAAAUACAACUGCUUAGUUAAAAUCAUAGAAUUGUUUAUUAAACUUAUGAUCAGUUGAAAUAAAAAAUUUAUACCACAUUGUGUACCUACUGUGUAUUAAAAUAACCCUAUUGUUGAACAUAUACCCAAAACCUGCUUAAACUUUGAAUAAUCUCAUUCGUGAUGUUGUUUCAAGGAAAACCAUCAUUUUAUUUGGGCUGCAUGUUUGUUGAUUUCAUCAUAUAUUGAUGAAUGUGCACUUUUGUGUAACAAUCUGGAAAUUCAAAAUUGCCUUCCUUUCUUUUGUUUUAUUAAGUAAUAUGUAGUUGAUGCUUUCCUGGUGAAUAGCCAUAUCCACUUCUAUGCGAUCUUGCAAACUUGAUGGAGAUUUAGGGCCCAGUUGGGUAACUACUUUUUUAAAUAAAAAAUAAAAUAUUAAUUCUUUUGAUUUCUUUUUUCAUUUUCAAUUUGUAUCUAUUUAUUGGGUUUUUUGCUUUCAACAAAACAAAGAAAGGGGUCUUACUUUUGUAAUAUAUGAGAAAAACUUAUCAACUAAAAUAACAACAGAAACAAAACUAAGUGCCCCAUAAGAAUUUUUUAUUCUUUUUUUUUUGUUAUUAUCUUAUGUAUGUGCAGAGGAGAUUACAUUUUUGACUGAGGGUGAUGAUCCUAACGAUAAUGAUGUUGUAUUAAAGAAGCUUUUUCACCCUAAUCUCAAGCUAUUAAUUGUGACACAAGGUUCAGGUUGUAGAUAUUACACCAAGGUAAGCUUACUACCAAGUCCAUUUGAGAGUGAGUGGCAUAAGCACUUGUUUCAUUGUUGAUUGUGUGCACAGAAAUUCAAAGGCUGGGUGGCAGAUGUUAAAGUUAAUCCCAUUGAUACAACUGGGGCCGGUGAUGCAUUUGUUAGUGGGAUUCUCUACAGCAUUUGCUCAUAAUCAAUGUGAAACUUGAUACUGCCAAUGCAAUUUAGUUAUCCAUUAAUAUUUUAGAUUGUCCCAUUUUAAGUGUUAAGUGUAAUGUUAAUGAAAGAGAUCCAUGUAACAUUAGGAUGGUCAUCUUAUUUUUUUUGUAUCUUUUUAUUGAGAUAGCGAGAUAUUGGCCAAUGAUGUUGAAAAAUAACAUCCAAUUUU